rnacentral:rRNA from 1 species
UUUAAUUGAAGAGUUUGAUCAUGGCUCAGAUUGAACGCUGGCGGCAGGCCUAACACAUGCAAGUCGAACGGUAGCACAGGGGAGCUUGCUCCCCGGGUGACGAGUGGCGGACGGGUGAGUAAUGUCUGGGAAACUGCCCGAUGGAGGGGGAUAACUACUGGAAACGGUAGCUA